rnacentral:lncRNA from 1 species
AGGUGCAUUGACAGUUUACCUUGAGUGUGUUAUAGUUUGACUACACCAUAACUCAGUCUUCUAGCCAUCCGAAAUCCUGAGGUGUAUGUUGGCUGUAGCAUAUUCUUUGUAGGAACUAGAUCGCAUCAAGAUGGGAUCUAUCAACCUUGGUAGAUGAGAGGAGUAGUCCUAUGGUGAUUGAAAGAUCGAGUCCCUAAGCCCAUGGCCAUGGCAGAGUGAAAUAAUGGAAAAGAGUUUUCCAUUGGGGUUUCACAUCAGACUCG